AUUGAACGCUGGCGGCAUGCUUUACACAUGCAAGUCGAACGAGUGGCGUACGGGUGAUUAAUGCUUGGGAAUCGAGCUUAUGGAGGGGUAUAACUACGGGAAACUGUAGCUAAUACCGCGUACCAUAGGCUGAGCCCAAGUGGGAUUAGGUAGUUGUUGAGGUAAAGGCUCACCAAGCCGACGAUCUCUAGCUGGUCUGAGAGGAUGACCAGCAACACUGGGACGGAGACACGGCCCAGACUCCUACGGGAGGCAGCAGUGGGGAAUAUUGCGCAAUGGGGGCAACCUGACGCAGCAAUGCCGCGGGAACGAAGAAGGCCUUCGGGUUGUAAAGUACUUUCGGUAGGGAGGCGUUAACUACAGAAGAAGCACCGGCUAACUCCGUGCCAGCAGCCGCGGUAAUUC
rnacentral:rRNA from 1 species